rfam:Marinilactibacillus sp. 15R, complete genome.
GGGGUUGUUACGGAUUCGACAGGCAUAGAUUGAGCUUGAGUUGCGUUCUGCAGGUGACGAGACUGCAUAUCAACGUCACAGUUAAAUAUAACUGCAAACAAUAACAAUAACACUUACGCUUUAGCUGCGUAAUAACAGCUUAUUAGCGUGAUCCGAACUGGCAUCGCCCACGUGUCACGUUUGGGUCCUAUAAUUAAGUGGGAUACGCUUAUUCUUUCCGUCUGUAAGAAUAAGAAGAGAUUAUCAGACUAGCGACACAUGAUGCCUGUUAUACGGCUAGUGUUGAGCGAAAUCUAAUAGUGUAACUAUGAACGUAGAGGCUUGAGUGCCAAUGUGUCUGGACAGGGGUUCGACUCCCCUCAACUCCAUUA